UACAGAGGGGGCAAGCGUUGUUCGGAAUUACUGGGCGUAAAGCGCACGUAGGCGGAUAUUUAAGUCAGGGGUGAAAUCCUGGAGCUCAACUCCAGAACUGCCUUUGAUACUGAGGAUCUUGAGUUCGGGAGAGGUGAGUGGAACUGCGAGUGUAGAGGUGAAAUUCGUAGAUAUUCGCAAGAACACCAGUGGCGAAGGCGGCUCACUGGCCCGAUACUGACGCUGAGGCACGAAAGCGUGGGGAUCAAACAGG
rnacentral:rRNA from 1 species